rnacentral:tRNA from 1 species
GACCAGGUGGCGAAAUCGGUGAACGCGGCUGACUUAUAACAAAGCUGGCAAAUGGAGGUUCGAUCCCUUCCCUGGUCACAA